AGUUAUAUUUUUACAUCCUGUGCUGGAUAAAAGUCACCCAUGUUCCUGGUGUAUACAAUGGCUUACAAACAGGCUUCUGAAAACUUAUGUUCUUCAUGAAGAAUAACUCAUUAAAAAAAAAGGAUUUUAUACCAGAGACUGUUACCUUUAAGAACAGAAUAAAACAACCAGAUAGUUUGGGAGGACCUUGAUCAUUGCUUUAUAAUAGCUUUUGGUGUUUACCCUUGAUGUCCCACACCCUUUUCAGUGUGGUCCACACAGGAAGAGAACUCCACAGAGCUACUGAGAUGAGCCAAAAACUCAUACUUCAGCUGACCAACAACAGAAUCACAUCGUUUGUGCAGACCCAUUUGCUCAUGAUAGAUUUGACCAUAUUUACUGAGUUUGUCUAAAGAUUUAGGAGGAAGAUUCCUGAUAGAAGAACUGCCCAAGGAUUACAUCUUGAAGAUCCUCUCUGGCCCUCUACAUUGCAGUCAGCACUAAGCUGGAGGAUGAAGGAAGUAACUCAACUGACCAACUGAAGACCAUUUCAAAGAGGAACAAUGUGAGUCCUUCAAGAAUGGAAGAUGUCCACUGCAUAGAUCAGCAGUUUUUCUGCUGAAGGGGAGGAGAAACACUUGAAUACUAACAGAAGAAACCAGAAAGUUAAUCCCUGGUCCCUCUGGCCAAAGGUUUACUUGUCCCACCUGCAAUCAAAGUGCCUUAUCAAGGAUUGGGAUGUACAAUCUUGAAAGGAUCCACAAAGGAAGGAGAAGAUGGUUAUCACUGGGAUUUGAUGAACAACCACAAGCAAGCAAUAGUAAGUACGCAUUUACCUA